GCCAUUGCUCAGGGGUAGAAUACCUGCUUUGCAUGCAGAAGGUCCAGGGUUCAAAUCCCAGGUAGGACUA